UUUGGUUUUGUUUGGUUUCGAGACAGGGUUUCUCUGUGUAGUUUUGGUGCCUGUCCUGGAUCUCGCUCUGUAGACCAGGCUGGCCUCGAACUCACAGAGCUCCACCUGCCUCUGCCUCCCAAACGCCGGGAGUAAAGACGUGUGCCACAACC